GAACCUGCGGAAGGUCACUA
rnacentral:rRNA from 1 species